rnacentral:rRNA from 1 species
CCUACGGGCGGCUGCAGUGGGGAAUAUUGGGCAAUGGGCGAAAGCCUGACCCAGCAACGCCGCGUGAAGGAAGAAGGCCUUCGGGUUGUAAACUUCUUUUAUGAGGGACGAAGGAAGUGACGGUACCUCAUGAAUAAGCCACGGCUAACUACGUGCCAGCAGCCGCGGUAAUACGUAGGUGGCAAGCGUUAUCCGGAUUUACUGGGUGUAAAGGGCGCGUAGGCGGGAAGGCAAGUCAGAUGUGAAAUCCAGGGGCUCAACCCCUGAACUGCAUUUGAAACUGCUUUUCUUGAGUGUCGGAGAGGUAGAUGGAAUUCCUAGUGUAGCGGUGAAAUGCGUAGAUAUUAGGAGGAACACCAGUGGCGAAGGCGAUCUACUGGACGAUAACUGACGCUGAGGCGCGAAAGCGUGGGGAGCAAACAGGAUUAGAUACCCCAGUAGUC